rnacentral:rRNA from 1 species
GGACCCGCACAAGCAGCGGAGCAUGUGGUUUAAUUCGAAGCAACGCGAAGAACCUUACCAGGACUUGACAUCCCUCUGACCUACCCUUAAUCGGAUACUCUCUUCGGAGCAGAGGUGACAGGUGGUGCAUGGUUGUCGUCAGCUCGUGUCGUGAGAUGUUGGGUUAAGUCCCGCAACGAGCGCAACCCUUAUUGUUAGUUGCCAUCAUUAAGUUGGGCACUCUAAUGAGACUGCCGGGGAUAACUCGGAGGAAGGUGGGGAUGACGUCAAAUCAUCAUGCCCCUUAUGUCCUGGGCUACACACGUGCUACAAUGGUCGGUACAGAGAGACGCAAUACGGUGACGUGGAGCAAAUCUUCAAAACCGACCCCAGUUCGGAUUGUAGGCUGAAACUCGCCUACAUGAAGUCGGAGUUGCUAGUAAUCGCAGAUCAGAAUGCUGCGGUGAAUGCGUUCCCGGGUCUU